rnacentral:rRNA from 1 species
GACUCAAACCCUACACGGUCUGAUCUUAUGUGACCCCUUAACCCCUUUCUGGCCUAAUGAAAACUUCAUGGGGGGUGCUGGCCUAUCGUGUCGUUGACGGCAAACGUGGAAUAGGCCUCUGACUGUGUAAAUACAGCCGCCCCAACCUGUACCUAUUAUUAAGAAUUAUUAUGUGACGCCCUUCAAAAAGAUAAAAACGGGUAGGAUGAUACAAUGCUGGCGUUUCCAGGGUUUAUGCCUGCUUUAAGCAAUUUAAUUAACUCUAAGCCCAUUUACAUGUACUAAAAGAAGGGCAAGUCUGGUGCCAGCAGCCGCGGUAAUUCCAGCUCCAAUAGCGUAUAUUAAAGUUGUUGCAGUUAAAAAGCUCGCAGCUGGAUUUCUGUUAAUAAUUUAUAUAAAAUAUU